UACGUAAGGGGCUAGCGUUGUCCGGAAUCAUUGGGCGUAAAGCGCGUGUAGGCGGUCCGGUAAGUCCGCUGUGAAAGUCGGGGGCUCAACCCUCGGAUGCCGGUGGAUACUGUCGGGCUUGAGUACGGAAGGAGGCGAGUGGAAUUCCUGGUGUAGCGGUGAAAUGCGCAGAUAUCAGGAGGAACACCAAUUGCGAAGGCAGCUCGCUGGGACGUUAACUGACGCUGAGACGCGAAAGCGUGGGGAGCAAACAGG
rnacentral:rRNA from 1 species